CCUUCGAAAAGGCAAACUUGCUGAAAGGCAAGGACGCAAAGCCCUAGGUCUAAGGCAUUAUUGCUAAGAUUGCUAGGUUACCGAA
rnacentral:ncRNA from 1 species